rnacentral:sRNA from 1 species
UCUCUCCUUCAACUAUGUCUUCUUAUUUGCUUGAGGGCAAGCAAAGACUAAGUUUGGGGGAGUUGAUAUGUCUAUAAUUUGCAUGUUUUCAGUGUCCAUUCAUCAUCGUUUUGAGUCCAGUUUCGUGUCAUUCAUCACUGUUUUAUAUCAUUUCUCAUCAUUCUUGCAUACUUUGCAUGAUUAGGAUAACUUUGCAUACAUAUUGCAUUUCUGAGUUGUUUUCAAGUGAUUUGGAGCUGUUUGCGAGCAAAUUGGAAGAAACGAGCCAGAACCAGAAGACAUCCAGCACCAUACUCGACCCCC